UACGUAGGUGGCAAGCGUUGUCCGGAUUUACUGGGCGUAAAGAGCGCGCAGGCGGUCGAUUUAGUCGCGUGUGAAAGCCCCGGCUCAACUGGGGAGGGUCACGCGAUACUGAUCGACUCGAAGGCAGGAGAGGGUAGUGGAAUUCCCGGUGUAGUGGUGAAAUGCGUAGAGUAUCGGGAGGAACACCAGUGGCGAAGGCGACUACCUGGCCUGUUCUUGACUGCU
rnacentral:rRNA from 1 species